UUAAAUUGAAGAGUUUGAUCAUGGCUCAGAUUGAACGCUGGCGGCAGGCCUAACACAUGCAAGUCGAACGGUAACAGGAAGCAGCUUGCUGCUUUGCUGACGAGUGGCGGACGGGUGAGUAAUGUCUGGGAAACUGCCUGAUGGAGGGGGAUAACUACUGGAAACGGUGGCUAAUACCGCAUAACGUCGCAAGACCAAAGAGGGGGACCUUCGGGCCUCUUGCCAUCAGAUGUGCCCAGAUGGGAUUAGCUUGUUGGUGAGGUAACGGCUCACCAAGGCGACGAUCCCUAGCUGGUCUGAGAGGAUGACCAGCCACACUGGAACUGAGACACGGUCCAGACUCCUA
rnacentral:rRNA from 1 species